AGUGAACGCUGGCGGUAGGCCUAACACAUGCAAGUCGAACGGCAGCACAGUAAGAGCUUGCUCUUACGGGUGGCGAGUGGAGGACGGGUGAGGAAUACAUCGGAAUCUACUUUUUCGUGGGGGAUAACGUAGGGAAACUUACGCUAAUACCGCAUACGACCUACGGGUGAAAGCAGGGGAUCUUCGGACCUUGCGCGAUUGAAUGAGCCGAUGUCGGAUUAGCUAGUUGGCGGGGUAAAGGCCCACCAAGGCGACGAUCCGUAGCUGGUCUGAGAGGAUGAUCAGCCACACUGGAACUGAGACACGGUCCAGACUCCUACGGGAGGCAGCAGUGGGGAAUAUUGGACAAUGGGCGCAAGCCUGAUCCAGCCAUACCGCGUGGGUGAAGAAGGCCUUCGGGUUGUAAAGCCCUUUUGUCGGGAAAGAAAAGCAGCAGGUUAAUACCCCGCUGUUCUGACGGUACCCAAAGAAUAAGCACCGGCUAACUUCGUG
rnacentral:rRNA from 1 species